rnacentral:lncRNA from 1 species
UACUAAAUAUCUUGAGGCUCAUGAAUAGGAACUUUAUAACUAAUUUGCUCAAACUCUUUACUAGAAAGAGCGUGUUUAGUUUUAGAAAUCUAGAGUUAAGUUGAUUACUAAUGUAGAUAUAAACACAAAAUAUAACCGCUCCAAGACUUUUGUGCAUAGAAGAAAGAAUAAAAUCAAGCCUCUUAGAUAUAAGAAUAAAGAAAC